UCAUUGUUACUGCAAGUGUUGCAAAUUUGACAGCCGCCAAUUUUGACAAAAUGUCAUGUUUAUCUAGGCCCUAUCUACCGUUUUCUUGGUGUCCACGUAACCAGGUGUGGCUUUGGGAGGCAUUUUUUGAGCCAAAAGACAUGCGGAUGGCAUCGGCAUUGUCGGAAAAGAUCGGAUGCAGGAGCUCGGUGAAUUGAGGCACGGCGUGCUCUUGGAACGACUCCAUGAUGAUUCCUCCAAGUCGCGUCUGGGUGCAGAUGCAAGGGUCUGGAGUGGCCGUGGCCCAACGCCAUUUCCCCCCUGCCUUGGGAAAGUCGGGAUUGAGCACUAGCCCGAUGUUGCAAGCAUACCCAGCCCCUGAUGUAACCAGAUGUACACUCCCUCUGUGAACAGUUGUAACAUUUCCUGACGACGUCAACAACUUUUAAACCUGGAAAAAGGUAGGCAAACAUCUCUGCUCUUUAAACUUUGCAUUUUAAAGUAGCAUGCUCAAAUCUCGAAGAUGUGUACAAAACGAGUUUGUCAUCUGAUGAAUGGUGCAUCACGCGGGCAACUGGAAACAUUGUCAUUUCCCAUAGAUUUCCGUUAUGCAAGAUCUCAUUAUUGGCUCAAAAUAGCGACUUCAGAAUGGGCCAGUUCACAUAUAUAGAAAGUUAAUGGUUUUCGGAAAUAGAUUGAAGAUCCUGGUAAAAAGUAAUUUAAACCAUAUUCUUUCUCAACGUCCUUGAAAGGAAAAACCCAAACAGAGGUGCUUGCCAGUAUCUCUUUGAAAAGAUGUACUUAAAGUCCAGCCCCCAAUUUAUAGUACUACUACUACUAUUAGUGGUUUUCAAGGAGGAAAACUAACAACUGGUGAUGCGUCAUCAAUUCCUGUCUUGAAUGUACAUUCCUCAUGGUUUAUCAAGCAUAAAAUCCUGGAAUAAAAGAUUCGACAGAGGAAAGAAAUCGCUGGAAGAUUAAAGUAAUUCCAGAUUCACAACCGCUGGACACUAAGGUGCCAGUGCUGGAGAUGUAUUCUGGCCUGUCUUUGCUGAUUGUAGAUUAAAAUUACUAUGGGCCUUAUGCACAAGUUUGCCAUUUUUCAAAUAAGGUUUUGCCCUUCACCGACGUAUAAACACUGUAUACUCGGUGUGACCUCUCAAGUGAAAGUUGUAACAAAAUCACUGGGGUGGGA